GGCACCUGCUAGAUGAUUUCAAAAUGGCGAUGCUUUAUUGUCAGAAGUCUAUCUAAUUUAAACUUAUUAUUUGUGUUUCAUUAAAAACUUAGAUGUGUAAUAAGUAAAAGGUAUGGGCUAAAAUAAUUAAAGUGUAACUUUUGUGUUAUUAUUUAACAGUGAAGAGUUAAGUACGUGGACUAACAGAUGAAGAAUAUAUUUUACAUUGCCGGCCUUAAGGAGCUAACAAAGAAAUCAUCAAUCCACAAAAAGAAUCAACCAGUGAAGGAGAAAAACAUUCAAAGCUGUAAAUUGCCAAAUCCAUCAGUGAAUAGACUAUUUUUCAAUGCACAUGGUUGGAAGAUGGAUGUCAAAGUCUCAGACAAAAGCUUCCAGAGUUAAGAAAAGAUGACUUUAACGAAAACAAGCACGAGAAGAAUGACUGCAAAAAAGCUUUUCGCAGAUGCGUUUCCUCAUCAAGUGUAUAAGGAAAACGGACCUGUCUACACAGACUAGAUGUAAAUGUCAAGGACUGAAAUGAGCAAUUCAAUGGCUCCUUUCUAAUUGUGUUAAGUGUCAUAAAAAAAUAAAACUGUUAUAAAUGGACGUGUAGUAAUGAUGAAAUUAUCACCCUGUUGCAAAUACAUUUACUUAUUCAUGAACUUUGUUCAUGAAUGACAUUUUGAAAAAAAUCAUGUUCAUGUACUGUCAAGUUCAUUAACUAAGUGGGAGUUCAUGAACCUGAUUUGUCCAAAUUGUCAUUCAUGAAUAGUUCACGUUAUUCUCAAAAAGCACACGCUUGACAUCAAUGACAUGGAUAAAUAAUUUGCUGGACUAAAGAAGCUCCAUACAUGGAAAAUGCCAAAUGCGAAUCAACUAAUACGCUGUCGUUCUAGAAUCAAAAACAACAACCGUAUAACUAAUUUUAUCAGUAAAUACAAAACUGUGAGUCUAGCCCGCUGAUGCAAAAAAUUAAGUCAUUAAUAACUAUGCAUUUAAACUCCAGAAUGACCUUUAUGAACCAUUAAUGAACAGGUGCAUAAUUAUUGUUUCUUAAAUACAAUAACUUUAUAAACUGUGUAAGUUUGAACUUUAUAUCCAUUUCAAGCACAUUGGUUAAAAGUACAUGUUUAAAAAAUGCUGUAAGAGCUCAGAAGGGCAUGUGAGCGAAUUUCAUAAAGCAUGUUAAGAGCAUCUUGGGUCAUUUGCUUUCUUACCCUACUGCGAUCAUACAGCAUAAAAGCAGUAAAAUGUGAGCAAUACUUAUAAUUUUAAAUACUUAAUGAAAAAAAUUGCGGUUAAACAGUAGGAGUACUUUUACCUCGUUCUGUGCUUAUUACAGGCAGAAAAAGGACUUGCAGUUUACUCUAUAUUGAUCAUGGAGUUAAAGACCUUCACCAACAGUAAUGUAUAUAAAUAAUGCAAUUGAGUAUUUGUUCUUUUAAAAAUGUAACCAACAACAUACUGUGAAAUCAUUAAUGUUCGUGGUUUUCGUGGGUUAGGUGAUCCACAAAUUCAAGAUCCCACGAAAUAAAGACCCUUUAUUCACUUUUUCAAUUGCCAUGUUAUGUACAUACUCUAGUUUAUUCGUACCAGAGGCCGCAGUAUACAGCGUAAAUAUCCGUCUCACUGUAUAUCUUACUAUAAUUGUUCUGUUAAUAUAUUAUAUCUGCCUUUAACAAAUUAUAAACCAAAUCAUUCAAAUGUGUUUUUAUGAACCAAAUGACAGAAGCACGUGCCUAAACGUGUGUUAUUCAUGAAAAUCUCCAGGUUAACAAGAUGUGAGUGAUGAGUGUCGGUUUUCGAUUUUUUUUCGAUGAAUGAAAUAAUUAAUCGAUUACAUUGGAGGCUACUGAGCACCCAACGUGACAAUGUACAAAACAACGUGUUCAUAAUACUUAUUAAACAAAAACGUGUGAAUAAAUAUUGAAAUGAUUUGAUAUGAAAUAAGAUGAUAUUUAAAAGUGAUUGAAUUUGUAAACAUCAUCUAUCUUUUGGAAAUGCUUACUCAAAUAUUCGGACCUUCUCGGUGUUUUCACAGUUUGCAAAAUUCUUAAUUGGCAUUCAAUGGCUUCGCCUAUCCAUAUUUAUGAUCAGGGUACAUCUUCUUUUAGGACCUUAAUUUAAAUCGAUAAUUGACAUGGGUAUAUGCACUAAUUGGCAUGUCGUACCACUUUGAAAUAGCGAGUGUCAUAAACCGAGUGACGUAGAGGACGGAAAUCACGGGCCAGCGCGUAGAGAUAAUGCAGACGAUCUAGGACAAUCGCAGUUACGAUUUUUUUAUCAAAAAUGAAAAACCACAAAUUGAAGUACCCACGAAAUUGUAAAUUUUCGGCAAACCAUGAAAUUUCAUGCCAACGAAGAUAAAUGAUUUCACAGUAUAUUAGUAUGAAAGAAUAGCUGAUUUUGUAAUGUAUUAUAAUAUAUUUGUUUUAAAUGACUACUCCUUAAUUAAGAAAAGUAAUCUACAUUUCAUGAUGAAAUGGAAUUGGUUACGUAAAACUGGAGCUUACAAGAAAGUGUUCUCCAGUCCUACAGUUUAUGCCACUACUGAGCAUCAAGCUGAUGCUUUGGAUUAUCAGUGGAACUAAUCUACCAUAGCUGUAAACUGACCACUUGACCCUUUCCCUGCUGGGAACUGUUUGCCUGACUAAUUUGAUUGUAAUAGCUGUUCUUGUCUUGAGAUUUGGGCCAUUUUAUGUUAGGAGGUUUUUCUUGGUAUUUCAACUUUCGCUAACUUGAUUAUUAAAAUAAUAUUAUUAUCGAAUGCUUUUGUAUAAAUUUUGUUUAUCAUAAUUAUUAUUAUUAUUAUUAUUACGGUAGUUCAAAAUCCACUAUACUGACGUCCAUCAAGUAUCAUUGUGCAAUGUUUAAAUAACGUCAUAAAACAAGUUUGUCAUGAAGAUAACAUUUAUUACGAAAUCAUGUGUCUUUUAAAUGAUUUAAACCUUUGAUAUAAAAUAUAUUAAUAAUGUGUUGAUCCGGAAUGUCUUAUUCAACUGUUGUUGAUGUUUUAAGAUUUUGAUUUCAGUCAGUAAGCGCCUUGUGUGACUUGAGUCAAAUUCCAUCUCCCCGUGAUCAAAACACACUACUAAUAAGUUAUUACCCUAUUAUACGAUUCUGUAAUAUGUAUAUUUCCUUUUCGCAAAGAGAAAAUAAUAUGGAGAAAAUAUAUAUUUCUGGAAAAAUGCUCUACAUACAUUGUAUUACAGACACGUGCAAUAAAAGUUCAGUGACUGCUGUGAUUAUAAGUUUACAUUAACUGUGCAUGUAGGAGUGCCAAUGAUUAGAAGAAGUUUGAUAAUUUUAAAUAUUAUAUUAAAAUAAAAUGAGUCAUAUAACAUUCAAAUAUACUGGUAUGAUAUCAAAAGUCUGGACAUAGAGGCUUAAGAUACAUUAUUGCUUUGUUGUGAUCAUUUCUCAUAUGAUGAUAAUGACUUAAACUGCAAUGAAACAAGUAUUAUAUAUAUUGAAAUAAGGUAGCAAUGUUUUAUGAUAAUUCCAAAAGCAAAGACAAAAUAGUUAAUGAUAUAUGUAUAUAUACAUAUAUCAUAUGGAAAGCUUACAUGCAGUGUGUAAAAUGUUUAAUCAUUCUUCUAAUGAAGAAUGUUCUCACACAACAAUGCAAAUUAAGAAGAGAAACCUUACAAAGAAAACAAACGUUUAUUUAACUGUGUCAGUAAAGAAGAUUUUAAUCGCUGUUUCAAAAGCUACAUUUUAGGAAAUGAACUUUCUAGAAAAUUACAUAAACGAAGAUGCACAAACACAAAGAGGGCUUAUAUAAUUCACAUGAAAAGUGGGCAAUGAUGUUUUUUGAAAUGCAUUUUAGCAAAGACCACAAUGUCAAUGUAUCAAUAGAAACCUAUGAAAGUUUCAACAUCAAGGUUAUAUAGUGCUCAGAUAAAAUAAGU